rnacentral:rRNA from 1 species
CGGGGGGGGUAAGCGUUGUUCGGAAUUACUGGGCGUAAAGGGCUCGUAGGCGGCCAACUAAGUCGGACGUGAAAUCCCUCAGCUUAACUGGGGAACUGCGUCUGAUACUGGAUGGCUUGGAUUUGGGAGAGGGAUGCGGAAUUCCAGGUGUAGCGGUGAAAUGCGUAGAUAUCUGGAGGAACACCGGUGGCGAAGGCGGCAUCCUGGACCAACAUUGACGCUGAGGAGCGAAAGCCAGGGGAGCAAACGGGAUUAGAUACCCCGGUAGUCCUGGCCCUAAACGAUGAAUGCUUGGUGUGGCGGGUAUCGAUCCCUGCCGUGCCGAAGCUAACGCAUUAAGCAUUCCGCCUGGGGAGUACGGUCGCAAGGCUG